AGGCAACAGACUUUGCCUGGAAACCGUAACUCUUUUUGAUGAUUUCAACCUGCUGAUAAACAUCAGAGGGAUCCAAAGGUCUUGAUUUAACAUCGCGGACAAAACUGCAACAUAAACAGGUUCCCAUGUCCUCUUCCUUUGAACUUGUGCUAGCUUCACUGAAAUCAAUUCAAGAAUCAAAAGAAUGCGGAACUAUUAGAACAAUUACAAAUUUCAAGUUUAAGAGAUGAAUAUUAUCCAAAAUGUUCUGAUUUAUUGUGUUUGGGAAACACUUAUCCUGAAACCAGUUAUGUUGUUAAAAUUUUGUGUUCUAAAAAGCGUCCUUUGAAGUUUAACUGAAAUAAAGAAAGUGAUAAUAAUUCAUACCCUUGAUGCUUCCCCCUCUUUCUUAUCACAUAGUAACGGUUUGAUGACAGUGGUUGAUUCAAGACUGGAACAAACAAGGCUUCUUCAUCAUCACUUCCAUAGUUGAUGGUUAAAUUUUUGUCCUGAGGAAAGGGAAGAUCCCAGAUAGUAGGGUCCUUGCACAAACCAAAACAUGAGUAUGUCUGAGCUUCUUC
rnacentral:lncRNA from 1 species